AAAAAUUAUGCAAAAAGGGAGAUUCAUCAGGCAUGUUAUUUCUCUCGCACAUGGUAGAAGACAAGACUCAAAGUGGACUUUCAUAUGUCGAGUUUCUAGUACAUAUCCAUCGGCAUAUUCAAAAUAAAAUGGCUUGAGAAAAUAUCCAGUAUCGUCCAUGAAUUUUGAUUAUAGAGAAGCGGUACAGACAGGGGCGGAGCUACCCUUGCCCGAGGGGUGUCAAGCGACACCCCUUAGCCUGAAACUUACACUGUAUAGAUAGGUCAAAUUUUGGUUUUAUAAGUAUAUAUACCAAUGUUGACACCUCUUGACACAAGCUGAAGGUUCAGCGCAGCGGUUAAGGGGUUGCAAAAAUUCUCUAAGGUCACGAGUUCGAUCCUAGCUUGUGACACACUUAUAAUUUUUUGACACCCCUUAACGAAAAUCCUGGCUCCGUCACCGGGUACAAAUGGUUUCAGUAUGAAGAGAAGCAGAUCAGCUUUCCAGGUGUGGCCCCAUCCAUGGGUUCAGAGCUCUCUGAAAGCUUUUUAAGUAUAGUACAUACUCAACAGAACAAAAGGCUUGAUUUUUAUGUAUUUUCACAGUGAUAGUGUUAUUUAUUCGUAUUAUUUUUCUCGACGUGAAAUGUAGAAUUAAAAUUGAGUUAAGGUUUUGUAGACUAUUUUGGGGAUAUUGAUACUACUUUUUCCUCCGUCUCCUGAGUAGCGCUGUUCUCAUGA